UUUUUUAUUUAUUCAACUUCAAAAGCACCACAGACUUCAUGCUGAGUUUCUACGAAUAUUUAUCGGGUUUUGUUCCGGUAUAAUAAUUCAUUUGGCGCCUUCCGCAUUCGCACUUCUCAACACUGAAACACGUUUGCACCUGAUCUUGUCUCGACUUAUGUGAAGUGAUACCGCAAUUAACGAGAUGUUGUCAAAGUGCUGUAAGUGCGGUUUCCUGGAAUUCAUUGUAAUUUUCCUGAGUUUGCAAGGUAAGUGGUGAAACUUAUCACUCGUACUGACGCAGUUGAAUUAAUCGGCUGAAGGUAUCGAGUUGAUUGUUAGCUAGGCGUCUUAGUCGCAGUGAACCUGUAUUUCAUGAGGGAAAUGUACAUAUUAGCCAUGACAAUUUUCUAACCGAUACGGCCCUCAUAUAUAUUGUAAUACCAACAAAC